UAGAUGAUAGUAUAAUCUUAAUACUUUUUGUUUACACCAAAAAACUGGCUACCCACCUCAUCUAC
rnacentral:tRNA from 1 species